rnacentral:rRNA from 1 species
CAGUUUCAACAACGGAUCUCUUGGUUCUCGCAUCGAUGAAGAACGCAGGGAAAUGCGAUAAGUACUGUGAAUUGCAGAUUUCAGUGAAUCAUCGAAUCUUUGAACGCACCUUGCGCUCCUUGGUAUUCCGAGGAGCAUGCCUGUUUGAGUGUCA